AUUGAACGCUGGCGGCAUGCCUUACACAUGCAAGUCGAACGGUAACAGGUCUUCGGAUGCUGACGAGUGGCGAACGGGUGAGUAAUACAUCGGAACGUGCCCGAUCGUGGGGGAUAACGGAGCGAAAGCUUUGCUAAUACCGCAUACGAUCUACGGAUGAAAGCAGGGGACCGCAAGGCCUUGCGCGGACGGAGCGGCUGAUGGCAGAUUAGGUAGUUGGUGGGAUAAAAGCUUACCAAGCCGACGAUCUGUAGCUGGUCUGAGAGGACGACCAGCCACACUGGGACUGAGACACGGCCCAGACUCCUACGGGAGGCAGCAGUGGGGAAUUUUGGACAAUGGGCGAAAGCCUGAUCCAGCCAUGCCGCGUGCAGGAUGAAGGCCUUCGGGUUGUAAACUGCUUUUGUACGGAACGAAAAGACUCCUUCUAAUAAAGGGGGUCCAUGACGGUACCGUAAGAAUAAGCACCGGCUAACUACGUGCCAGCAGCCGCGGUAAUACGUAGGGUGCAAGCGUUAAUCGGAAUUACUGGGCGUAAAGCGUGCGCAGGCGGUUAUAUAAGACAGAUGUGAAAUCCCCGGGCUCAACCUGGGAACUGCAUUUGUGACUGUAUAG
rnacentral:rRNA from 1 species